rnacentral:rRNA from 1 species
AGUGAACGCUGGCGGUAGGCCUAACGCAUGCAAUUCGAACGGCAGCACAGUAAGAGCUUGCUCUUACGGGUGGCGAGUGGCGGAUGGGUGAGGUAUACAUCGGAAUCUACUUUUUCUUGGGGGAUAACGUAGGGACACUUACGCUAAUACCGCAUACGACCUACGGGUGAAAGCAGGGGAUCUUCGUACCUUGCGCGAUUGAAUGAGCCGAUGUCGGAUUAGCUCGUUUGCGGGGUAAAGGCCCACCAAGGCGACGAUCCGUAGCUGGUCUGAGAGGAUGAUCAGCCACACUGGAACUGAGACACGGUCCAGAGUCCUACGGGAGGCAGCAGUGUGGAAUAUUGGACACUGGGCGCAAGCAUGAUCCAGCCAUACCGCGUGGGUGAAGAAGGCCUUCGGGUUGUAAAGCCCUUUUGUUGGGAAAGAAAAGCAGCAGGUUAAUACCCCGCUGUUCUGACGGUACCCAAAGAAUAAGCACCGGCUAACUUCGUG